rnacentral:misc_RNA from 1 species
UUAUUUAUUAUUAUUAUUUUUUUGUGGGGCAGGGAUUGCAUUGCAUGCAUCUCUGCAUUUAUGCUUAAAAUUCUUUUAUACACCUAAAAGUUUUGAGAAGGGAGUCAGGACUGUGCUAAUGUUGUCUAGCUUUUACCCUGUUUGGAAUUUAUUUAUGAAUUCUAGAAGCUUUUAUAUAGACUGAAGAUCAGACAUGCUCAGGCUUAAGCCAGUAAAAAUGGAAUAGCACUGACACAGUUGCCUUAAAUAGGAGAAGCAAUGUAACUGCAUGAUGUUUUGUUUGCAAGAUAUGUCUUCAUUUUGGCUGUAUCAUCAGGAAUUUUAGUAUGCAGUGUUAGAAUGAUGUUUAGGGGACAGUGCUUUGGAGGGUUUGUUCAUUAUACAUGCAUAAUAUAUGUAUCUUGUUGUCAGGAACAAGUUAUAUCUAGCCCAGAUUUUGUUAUUGAUAUCCCUGUAGUAAGUUAUUCUGGGACCCAAUUCCCCCUGUACAUCACUAUUUAAAAUGUUCCAGCUGAUUGGGAUGUAGGUUCUAGCUUUUGGAAUAGAAGUUUAUUGUAAUUUUGCUGAUUAAUAUGUGAUUAUUUGAAUUGUAUUGCGGUUGAUACUUGAUAAUGAAAUGAUAUGGUAUUUAGACUGAAUAUUAGGCAUGGGAAGAAGGAAGAUAGGCUUUGCAGAUAUUUAUUGAUUAGUAAAAAAGGUAAGGUCUUACAAACAGACCUUGAUUGGCCCUUUUUGUAAUUUAUGCCUGGAAGAGGUAUUCACUCUGCUACAUGUUUUGUGUCAACAAUUUGACCAGAUUUGCAUACUGAUUCCUCAAUUGAGUUGGUUUAUUUAAGUGCUUUGUUUUGUUGCUUAAAUAUUGUUAUUUCAACUUAAGGCAUGGAUAUGGAAGA